UGGGGAAUUUUGGACAAUGGGGGCAACCCUGAUCCAGCCAUCCCGCGUGUGCGAUGAAGGCCUUCGGGUUGUAAAGCACUUUUGGCAGGGAAGAAACAGCCUGGGAUAAUACCCCGGGCGACUGACGGUACCUGCAGAAUAAGCACCGGCUAACUACGUGCCAGCAGCCGCGGUAAUACGUAGGGUGCAAGCGUUAAUCGGAAUUACUGGGCGUAAAGCGUGCGCAGGCGGUUCGGAAAGAAAGGUGUGAAAUCCCAGGGCUUAACCUUGGAACUGCACUUUUAACUACCGAGCUAGAGUACGUCAGAGGGGGGUAGAAUUCCACGUGUAGCAGUGAAAUGCGUAGAGAUGUGGAAGAAUACCGAUGGCGAAGGCAGCCCCCUGGGAUGAUACUGACGCUCAUGCACGAAAGCGUGGGGAGCAAGCAGGAUUAGAUACCCUGGUAGUCCACGCCCUAAACGAUGUCAACUAGCUGUUGGGGUUUAUUAACCUUAGUAGCGCAGCUAACGCGUGAAGUUGACCGCCUGGGGAGUACGGUCGCAAGAUUAAAACUUAAAUGAAUUGACGGGGGUCAUAGCUGUUUUCCUG
rnacentral:rRNA from 1 species